CUAAUAUAAUAGAAUAUGUAGACAUGUCUUGCACAAAAAAAAUUUAUUCAUGAAUAACAUCUCUUAUCGUCACCUUGAUAUUUAGAAAUGUUCCAUAUAAAUCUUCCUUUGAAUUAUUUUUUGCUCUUAUCAUCCAUCAAUGUUUAGUAACAAUAGGCCAUUUUCCUCUGUUAUAUAAUUCUUUUGACAUCAAAUUGAUUUUAGAACCAUGAUCAAUCAGUACUACAAUUGGUUCUUUUAAAACACCUAAUUUUAUCAAAGUUUUCAUAAUAGUCCUUGCCCAAUGAUUUCUAAAAUAAUUACUAGAAGCUUGAAUGACAUCAUCUCUUUUUGUAAAUCUUACUUACAAGACAUCUCCAAAAUUUUGCAUUUCAUCUUCUUCAUUUUCAUCUUCAAUGCUUUCUAUUGCUCUUGUUCCUUGUACAUUUGAUAUU
rnacentral:lncRNA from 1 species